AUCCAGACUCCUACGGGAGGCAGCAGUGGGGAAUAUUGCACAAUGGGGGAAACCCUGAUGCAGCGACGCCGCGUGAGUGAAGAAGUAUUUCGUUAUGUAAAGCUCUAUCAGCAGGGAAGAAAAUGACGGUACCUGAGUAAGAAGCCCCGGCUAACUACGUGCCAGCAGCCGCGGUAAUACGUAGGGGGCAAGCGUUAUCCGGAUUUACUGGGUGUAAAGGGAGCGUAGACGGCAGUGCAAGUCUGGAGUGAAAGGCGGGGGCUCAACCCCAGGACUGCUUUGGAAACUGUACGGCUAGAGUGUAGGAGAGGUAAGUGGAAUUCCUGGUGUAGCGGUGAAAUGCGUAGAUAUCAGGAGGAACACCAGUGGCGAAGGCGGCUUACUGGACUGUAACUGACGUUGAGGCUCGAAAGCGUGGGGAGCAAACAGGAUUAGAUACCCCCGUAA
rnacentral:rRNA from 1 species